rnacentral:rRNA from 1 species
AAACGCUUGAAGUCAGUCGCGUUGGCUGGGAAUCAGUCUUGCUUUUGCUUGAUGUACUUUCUAGUCAACGGGUCAGCAUCAGUUUUGACCGCUGGAUAAAGGCUGAGGGAAUGUGGCACCUCCGGGUGUGUUAUAGCCCUCGGUUGUAUACAGUGAUUGGGACUGAGGAUCUCAGGCCGCAAGGCCGUAGGAUGCUGGCAUAAUGGCUUUAAUCGA